rnacentral:rRNA from 1 species
AUUGCCUCAGUAACGGCGAGUGAAGCGGCAACAGCUCAAAUUUGAAAUCUGGCCCUAGGGCCGAGUUGUAAUUUGCAGAGGAUGCUUUUGGUGAGGUGCCUUCCGAGUUCCCUGGAACGGGACGCCAUAGAGGGUGAGAGCCCCGUCUGGUCGGACACCGAGCCUCUGUAAAGCUCCUUCGACGAGUCGAGUAGUUUGGGAAUGCUGCUCUAAAUGGGAGGUAUAUGUCUUCUAAAGCUAAAUACCGGCCAGAGACCGAUAGCGCACAAGUAGAGUGAUCGAAAGAUGAAAAGCACUUUGAAAAGAGAGUUAAAUAGCACGUGAAAUUGUUGAAAGGGAAGCGUUUAUGACCAGACUUGGCCCGGUUGAUCAUCCAGCGUUCUCGCUGGUGCACUCUGCCGGUCCAGGCCAGCAUCAGUUCGUCGCGGGGGAUAAAGGUUUCGGGAAUGUGGCUCCUCCGGGAGUGUUAUAGCCCGUUGCGUAAUACCCUGCGGUGGACUGAGGUCCGCGCUUCUGCAAGGAUGCUGGCGUAAUGGUCAUCAACGACCCGUCUUGAAACACGGACCAAGGAGUCGUCUUCGUAUGCGAGUGUUCGGGUGUAAAACCCCUACGCGUAAUGAAAGUGAACGCAGGUGAGAGCUUCGGCGCAUCAUCGACCGAUCCUGAUGUUCUCGGAUGGAUUUGAGUAAGAGCAUACGGGGCCGGACCCGAAAGAAGGUGAACUAUGCCUGUAUAGGGUGAAGCCAGAGGAAACUCUGGUGGAGGCUCGCAGCGGUUCUGACGUGCAAAUCGAUCGUCAAAUAUGGGCAUGGGGGCGAAAGACUAAU